AUGAGAGGCAAAACUAAUGUUUUUGCCCCAAGCACCUCCACCAGUACCUUUAGGUUCUGGAAAGGAGUGAAAUCCAUCAUCCAAACUUUGAAGUUUGGAUAUAGAUGGAAAAUAGGGACAGGAGAUAAGAUUAGGUUUUGGGAAGAUACUUGGUUUGGCACCUCCCCCCUAACAGUACAAUUCUGGCACAUCUACAUGGUUUGCAAUGAGCAAAACAAAAGUGUCAGGGAUGUAUGGGAUGGUGAAAUACUAAAGUUGACCUUUAGGAGGAACUUUGAUAAUAAGAUGAUGGAACAAUGGUACCAGCUAUUGGAUAUUGCUAAAGAAAUCAUCUUUGAUGGUGACUCUAAUGCCCUAAUCUAG
rnacentral:rRNA from 1 species